CGAUUUUGCAAUGAGUAAUGUUAAGUAAACUAAAUUUACAAAUUCAAUAAUGUGUAACAAUAAGAAAUAAGAACGUGAAUUAUCAACUUUCAUGCGUUUUGUUUACUAAAUUUGUUCCGUAGCAUUUACCCUUUCGUGAUACUUGGGUUACUCGCACGCACCUAUGUCGCCACGCUUGCUUCGUCACCGUUUUCCCGACCUUCUCUUCCUUCCGCGUCUUUUCUUCUCAGUCACAGCGGCCAAGUAAUCAAGUUCGCGUCGAGCUCCCCCGAUAUAUCGUGCAUAGUCGUGUAUUUAAGAAGGCGCUGGGGUUUCUUGGCCGCGUUGCACACCAGGUGUUUGUUAAAACAUCUGAAUAUGGUAUUGCUCUAUUGCAUAAUCACUUGCUCUAUCCAGCUUAAUCUCUAGUCAUGAAGGGCUAAAUGUUAUAGGUUUAACGAAACAAUUGCGUUUACUUGCCGAUGUUAUUAUACCGUUCAUACUAAAUGUCAGAAAACCCUUCAUACCUAUAUUCAUAUUUGUAUUUUACUAAUAUUAAUGUAGGAUUCUGAACAUUUAAUAGUAAGAUUAUUACAUCAAUGAGAUUGCCUUUUAAUAAAAAGAAAAUUCUUGGACAGAAAAACGGAAAAAGAAGACAUUACGUGAAUGAGGUUGUGCAUAACCCACAUGCCUAAAAUAUUGUUUCUAAGAAAAAUAGUUUCAGUCAAAAUUGACGUUGCUCUAUAAUAACCAUCUCUAGUGCUCGUGUUGUCUACAAUCUCUCUAAUUUAGGUGGGUAUGUGAAUCCCAUAUCUAUUAGAGAGAUCGUAAUGAAGAUGGUCGGUUGAGCUGGGAAAGAAAUAGGACUUCUUACUAUGUUAGAGAGUAGGUGGAUAAUGUGUGGGGAGAGUUCGAUUUUGGGCUUACUUAAAGCAAUUGGAGGUCAAUUUUUGCAUUAAAGUUUUUAAGGAGAAGUUUCCUUUGUGUUUGAAGAUUGGCAGGGAUCUUGUUCGACUUCUACAAGAUUUGGUUCAUUUACCCAAGUUUAGAGCAAUAUGGAAGGAUUUGGUAUUUAAUCGCGGCGAAUUUAAAGCUCAGGGAUUUUCAGGUAUUCCACAACUCUAUAACAUAAGGACUCCAAGCGAUUAUAUGUUACUUCGGAUUACUCCAAAAUGGAGGCCCAUUUACGAUUUUUGCUCACUCAUGUGAAGUUGGGAAACCAGAAGCGUCAUCAGGCAUGGUUUUCCUAGAAGUAUCUAUUUGAACCAAACAGAGAGACUCUCAUAAUUGACCUUGUUCGCUUUAUAUGUUGUCCUUACCACCCAACGAAUGAAAUCAUUCAGUCAGAUGUCAUUCCAAGAUGGGCUGUUAUGGGUUGGCAUUUCAAAUCUUGCACUAAGAAUUAUGUUGAAGCAAAUGUGAAACUAGCUCUACUUUAUGAUUGGCUCUUUUUCGAGGAAAGAGUAGACAAUAUUAUGGAUAUUGAACCUGCAAUGUUAUUAAUGGUCUAUUCUAUACCCAGAUACAUUGAUGUAACUCACACUAUUCUUGAAUUUUUCUUCCUUCUUAUGGACAACUAUGAUGUGGAACAUUACGAUAUCUUAGCUAAAGGUGUGUCAUCUUCUUUUAGUGUACUGGUUAAGAGAGGAGUGAUUCGUUCAUUUGAUGUCUUGACCUCUUGUGAUGCACUGUCUCCUAUAUUGAAAGAGAGGCUUGGUAGGUUUUUGUCACGUAGGAAAUUUGAAAUCUCUAAGGAGGUUCAACAAGCUUGUCGUCCUGGUGAUUUUGUGAGUUUGAACUCUUCAUGUAUGGAAACUCCAUUACCAUUAACAGAAUGGCAACCUAAAUGUAGCCAAGGAGACAGAUUUGGAACCAAAUUAGCUGAAACUAAAGUUAUGAUAUCAGAUGAUGCAGCUCCUUCCCAUAGUCCAUUAGUAGUGGCCAGGGAAGGUCAAGUUCAUGAUAUAGACAAUUUGAUUCAUAAUCUUGGAGAAGCAAUUAAAAAUUCAAAUCCAAUGGCUCUUCAUACUUUGGAAGAACUGUUACUUUUAUUUGUGAGUUUUGAUGGCCAAGGACCAAAGAGUGGCUUCAUUCUCCCUGAUGUUUUAUCUUCUAUAAUGAGAAUGUUGUAUGAAUUGAGUGGGUCCAAAUUAUUUUCUCCUCUCAUCCAGAUAGUCCUGAAAACGGUGAUGAAGUUGGGUCUGCCACAUCCUUAAUUAUCCGUAUGUUUGUUCUUUCUAAGCAUCAAAAUAUGCAAGCUAUGCUUCUAUUCUGGUUAAAGAAUGGUUUUCCAGUUGGAGCAAGGUUAUUAUCGUAUGCAUCAAGACUAGCUUAUGAGGCACACAUGGUGGGUUUUUUUGGAGGUGCCAUGGUUGACGUUAAUGCUAUUACUCCAAGUGAAUCAGGCAUCCAUCUGCUGCUAUAUCAUGUCAAUGGGUACUUUUCUUUUUUGCAUGGCAGAACUGAAAACUCAUAUGAAACCAUUGAAUCUAUUUCUAAAGCAGAAAAGAAGUUAGUUGCAAUGUUAGUCGAUGGUGCCUUUGCUGCCUACAAAUGCUUCCUUAUGUAUUCAAGAACUGCCUUAUUCAAGGAUGCUGAAAAUUCUCUGCCACGGCUCCUUUUUUCUGACAUAAUGACUUGUUCUGUGUGGGAGAGGAAGCGAUUAAAAUUCUUGUUUUCCAGUGUCUAUUCUCAUCUUUCUGAUAUGUCCAUUGGUGAGGAUGGCAUCAUCAAGCUACUUGUUGGUCAAUUAGAUCAUGCUGAUCUUGUUAAUAUACAGAUUGAGAUUGGCUUGAAAUGAUUUUCCAUUUUUGGUGAGAAUACUGAAACAGUUUUCCGCUUAAUGAAGAAUUCCUUUAAUUGGGAUUGUGUUGAACAACAUAAAUUCUGGGGCUUGAUUAGAUCAGAGCUAGCCGUUUCCACGGUGCAAGUGCAGGAACUACUUUCAAAGUUUUUCUGGUUGGAGAAAUUAGAUGCAAAUGCGAGUGCCAUUGCGGUUGAAGGUCUUCUUACACUCUGUAGUUGCUGUCCACCCAUGCCUAAGCUUGUUGGGGCUGUCAUGUUAUUACCUAACAGUGUCUUUCAGGAUUUUGCUUCUGCUGUUAUGGCUAAAUGGGCUGUAUCUAAUGGCUUCAUGCUAUUUGAAAGCUUGGCUGAGUUUUCAGAAAAAGUUGAGGGCAAAAAUGGGGAUCUCGUCAUUCAUGAUUCAGCAGGAAUGAUAAACCGCUCUGCCAUUUUGUGGUUAUUGAAGUAUUUUAAUGGGAGUGACACUGAUGGGUUAUGUAAUGCGUUUCAUUGGAAGGUCUUUCUUUUGAAAGUGGACAUGCAAUCUGAAGAUGAAAAGGUUGUAUUCAGAAUGUUUUGAUGGGGGAAUCCUUGCCAACUGCAAUAUUUUAGUAUCCAAGAGAUAUAUUCUAAUUGUUUGCAUACUCUGGUGGUUUCACAAAAGGUUGCCUUGCUAUCUUGACAAGGGCCACAAUGGUGCUGCUUGUGCUCUCUUCUCUUGACCUGUGAAAUGGAAACCCAACCAAUCUUAGUAGAAAAAUUCUCACCAAGAUUACUCGAAACUCCAAAAAAGACAAAUGUUGCUCACAGAAAAUUCACUCGAAUGCAGGGUUUGAGCUAAAAGUCAUGCAACAUAAGGAUCUUAUUUUUCCAUACUGGUAAGUUAGAUAUGGACGACUUAAGUACAUCUCACUCAUUGGCUAUUAUGCGUCUCGUUUUUUCGUUAUUUAGCUAUUGAUGUUGGUGAUUAUUUCAUGUUGACCCAAUAGAGUGGGAAGCGUAGUUUGUUUCUUUCUUCAUUGGUACUUCACCCAUAUAUCUGAUAGUGCUGCAGGCAUCAAGGGAUGAUCUUACGAUGAUGGAAUUGAAUCCUUUCCCUACGUAUAACUUCUUAUGCAAGCUUUUACUGUGAGCCCUAGCAUUUUCUUCAAGAUUGUUCCCUAGCAUUUUCUUUAAAAUUAGCAAGCUGCAUAUAAUAGUCAUCCUUUGUAUUGUUACUGCGAUAAAACAAAGCCAUUGAUCACCAGGCAUUCAGUAUAGGCCCAGUAUUAGAAAUUGAACGUAGGUGGUGAGCUUAUACCCGAUUGAGUAGCUGAUAGAGUAGGUGUUGUCUCGGUGGGAUGUAAAUGUAUCAAACGGGCGAGCCGGCCCGAAUGGCACGAACACCGGCCAUUUAAAUAGGGCAUGGUCAGUGGUGGAGCCAAGAUUUUAUCCCACUGGGAGGCAUGAUAAAAAUGUUUCAUAUAUUGAUUAUUGGGUAGCUGUACAUUCAUGUAUCAUCGUCCAUAUAUCCAGUUUUCUACAAAAAAAUCUAAGGCCAAAGUUUGAUUUAAAUGUACGAUAGGAAUGAAGGCUAAUUGUGUUCCAUAAAUCUGUCUCACUAUUUUAUAGGAAUUAAACUGAUGACGACUUGUAGUUGCUACUCUUUCCGCUAUCAUGCACAGUUGGAUCAUUGGAGAUUGACUCUUCUCCAGAGUGUCUCUUUGUUCUACAUGUUCUUUAUGGCUAGAUGCGGUGGGUUCAAUGACGGCACAGCUUCAAUUCGUGAUGAUAAUUAGGAUUUUGGGUUAUGGAUUCAUCUAGGGUUUUGGUUGUUUUGGGCUGUGGACUUGGAUAUGGGUUAUGUUAGAUUUGCGUGUUAUAUUAAAAUUCGUAUCUUGUACAUGUCUUUGAUGUAUUGUUAAAGUUGUUUUUUUUAUCGGUGGCGCAACGUUUAAUUUGAAAUCAUUCUUUUUUAUCUUGUUUUAUUGAAAGAACGUA